rnacentral:hammerhead_ribozyme from 1 species
AUCCAGCUGACGAGUUCUAAAUAGGACGAAACGUGCGUCCUGGAU